CCUACGGGGUGCAGCAGUGAGGAAUAUUGGUCAAUGGACGAGAGUCUGAACCAGCCAAGUAGCGUGAAGGAUGACUGCCCUAUGGGUUGUAAACUUCUUUUAUAUGGGAAUAAACUGUUCCACGUGUGGGAUUUUGUAUGUACCAUAUGAAUAAGGAUCGGCUAACUCCGUGCCAGCAGCCGCGGUAAUACGGAGGAUCCGAGCGUUAUCCGGAUUUAUUGGGUUUAAAGGGAGCGUAGGUGGAUUGUUAAGUCAGUUGUGAAAGUUUGCGGCUCAACCGUAAAAUUGCAGUUGAAACUGGCAGUCUGGAGUACAGUAGAGGUGGGCGGAAUUCGUGGUGUAGCGGUGAAAUGCUUAGAUAUCACGAAGAACUCCGAUUGCGAAGGCAGCUCACUGGACUGCAACUGACACUGAGGCUCGAAAGUGUGGGUAUCAAACAGGAUUAGAUACCCGGGUAGUC
rnacentral:rRNA from 1 species